AAAUUGAAGAGUUUGAUCAUGGCUCAGAUUGAACGCUGGCGGCAGGCCUAACACAUGCAAGUCGAACGGUAACAGGAAGCAGCUUGCUGCUUUGCUGACGAGUGGCGGACGGGUGAGUAAUGUCUGGGACGGGUGAGUAAUGUCUGG
rnacentral:rRNA from 1 species